rnacentral:rRNA from 1 species
CCUACGGGUGGCCGCAGUGAGGAAUAUUGGUCAAUGGGCGCGAGCCUGAACCAGCCAAGUCGCGUGAAGGAUGACUGCCCUACGGGUUGUAAACUUCUUUUAUAAAGGGAUAAAGUGCGGCACGUGUGCCUUUUUGUAUGUACUUUGUGAAUAAGGAUCGGCUAACUCCGUGCCAGCAGCCGCGGUAAUACGGAGGAUCCGAGCGUUAUCCGGAUUUAUUGGGUUUAAAGGGAGCGUAGGUGGGUUUUUAGGUCAGUUGUGAAAGUUUGCGGCUCAACCGUAGAAUUGCAUUUGAUACUGGGAGGCUUGAGUACAGUUGAGGUAGGCGGAAUUCGUGGUGUAGCGGUGAAAUGCUUAGAUAUCACGAAGAACUCCGAUUGCGAAGGCAGCUUGCCAUACUGCCACUGACAGUGAGGCUCGAAAGUGCGGGUAUCAAACAGGAUUAGAUACCCCAGUAGUC